rnacentral:rRNA from 1 species
UGCAAGUCGAACGGUAGCAGACCCGGCAACGGGUGCUGACGAGUGGCGCACGGGUGCGUAACACGUAUGCAACCUACCCUGUACUGGGGGAUGACCCUGAGAAAUCGGGGCUAAUACCCCAUGGCAUUAUGAAGUGGCAUCACUUUAUAAUUAAAGAUUCAUUGGUACGGGAUGGGCAUGCGCCCCAUUAGUUAGUUGGUGAGGUAACGGCUCACCAAGGCAGUGAUGGGUAGGGGUUCUGAGAGGAUUAUCCCCCACACUGGUACUGAGACACGGACCAGACUCCUACGGGAGGCAGCAGUAAGGAAUAUUGGGCAAUGGAGGCAGCUCUGACCCAGCCAUGCCGCGUGCAGGAAGACUGCCCUAUGGGUUGUAAACUGCUUUUGUAUGGGACUAACCGUGGUUACGUGUAACCACCUGCAUGUACCAUACGAAUAAGCAUCGGCUAACUCCGUGCCAGCAGCCGCGGUAAUACGGAGGAUGCGAGCGUUAUCCGGAAUUAUUGGGUUUAAAGGGUGCGUAGGCCGACAAGUAAGUCAGUGGUGAAAUACUCCGGCUUAACCGG